rnacentral:rRNA from 1 species
GAAAGAUGAAAAGAACUUUGAAAAGAGAGUUAAACAGUACGUGAAAUUGUUGAAAGGGAAACGAUUGAAGCCAGUCGUACCUUCGGGUAAUCAGCCUUUCGGGUGCGAUUCUGUGGAGUUUGAGGAGCUUAACACCUUCAUGCUUUGCAUAUUCAUGCUCUUGGGUGUACUUGCUCGUAUGGUUGGUUAACAUCAAUUUUGGUGGUCAUAAAAUGACUGGAGGAAUGUAGCUUCGAUCUCGUAUUGAAGUGUUAUA